rnacentral:rRNA from 1 species
AGAGUUUGAUUCUGGGUUCCAGAAGAAACGCUAGCGGCAGGCUUUAACACAUCCAAAGUGAAGGGGCAGCAUGUCCAGCAAUGGGUGAUGCGACCGGCGGAAGGGUGCGUAACGCGUGAGCAACAUGCCCUAUACAGGGAGAUACACCAGGGAAACUUGGUCUAAUAUCCCAUAGCAUUCAUUGAAAGCAUCUUUAAUGAAUUAAAGCUUCGGUGGUAUAGGAUUGGCUCGCGUGACAUUAGCCAGAUGGUGAGGUAACGGCUCACCAUAGCAAUGAUGUCUAGGGGUUUUGAGAGGAAGGCCCCCCACACUGGGACUGAGACACGGCCCAGACUCCUACGGGAGGCAGCAGUGAGGAAUAUUGGACAAUGGAUGGAAAUCUGAUCCAGCCAUGCCGCGUGCAGGAAGACGGCCUUAUGGGUUGUAAACUGCUUUUAUACGGGAGCAAUAAGGGUUACGAGUAAUCCGAUGAGAGUACUGUAUGAAUAAGGAUCGGCUAACUCCGUGCCAGCAGCCGCGGUAAUACGGAGGAUCCGAGCGUUAUCCGGAAUUAUUGGGUUUAAAGGGUGCGUAGGCGGCCAUUUAAGUCAGCGGUGAAAUUUUGCAGCUUAACUGUAACAGUGCCGUUGAUACUGUUUGGCUAGGAUUUGGUUGUAGUGUGCGGAAUGUGUGGUGUAGCGGUGAAAUGCUUAGAUAUCACACAGAACACCGAUUGCGAAGGCAGCACACUAAGUCAUUAUUGACGCUGAGGCACGAAAGUGUGGGGAUCAAACAGGAUUAGAUACCCUGGUAGUCCACACUGUAAACGAUGAUAACUCGCUGUCGGCGAUACACAGUCGGGGCCAAGCGAAAGC